UACGGAGGGUGCGAGCGUUGUCCGGAAUCACUGGGCGUAAAGGGCGCGUAGGCGGCCUGAUAAGUAGGGGGUGAAAUCCUGCGGCUUAACCGCAGGGCUGCCUUCUAAACUGUCAGGCUAGAGCACGGUAGAGGCAGAUGGAAUUCCCGGUGUAGCGGUGGAAUGCGUAGAGAUCGGGAAGAACAUCAGUGGCGAAGGCGGUCUGCUGGGCCGUUGCUGACGCUGAGGCGCGACAGC
rnacentral:rRNA from 1 species